AGUGAACGCUGGCGGUAGGCCUAACACAUGCAAGUCGAACGGCAGCACAGUAAGAGCUUGCUCUUACGGGUGGCGAGUGGCGGACGGGUGAGGAAUACAUCGGAAUCUACUUUUUCGUGGGGGAUAACGUAGGGAAACUUACGCUAAUACCGCAUACGACCUACGGGUGAAAGCAGGGGAUCUUCGGACCUUGCGCGAUUGAAUGAGCCGAUGUCGGAUUAGCUAGUUGGCGGGGUAAAGGCCCACCAAGGCGACGAUCCGUAGCUGGUCUGAGAGGAUGAUAGGCCACACUGGAACUGAGACACGGUCCAGACUCCUACGGGAGGCAGCAGUGGGGAAUAGUGGACAAUGGGCGCAAGCCUGAUCCAGCCAUACCGCGUGGGUGAAGAAGGCCUUCGGGUUGUAAAGCCCUUUUGUUGGGAAAGAAAAGCAGCAGGUUAAUACCCCGCUGUUCUGACGGUACCCAAAGAAUAAGCACCGGCUAACUUCGUG
rnacentral:rRNA from 1 species